CCCGGCUGCAGGGAAAGGCCUCGGAGGGCCGCCCUCCGUCCAUGGGAGCUGUCCUGACCGCGGGCCGAGUCCUGCUGCCGGGAGAGCAGACCUGCUAGAUUUGCAAACUUCCGCAGGCCGUGCAAAGCGCAGCUGUAACCGCGUCUGCGGAGCAAGACGCCUGCGCUAGGAGCCCCUCCUGAGCGGUCCACAUUUCCCUGCAACAGCAGUCCCCACACCUCAGAACCGCGGUUAUUCCCUUUGGUCCCUUGGAGGCAUCUUCUGUGUCUGUGCUGAUCAGUGCUGCGGCGUCAGUGAAUGAAUGAGAGGGAGAAAGGAAAGAAGAGGAAGGCGUGACUGCAGAAAUUGCUUAAAUUUUGCCUUUUCCAGAAUGUCAUGAAAAUGGAAUCAGACCGUAUGUAGCCUUUUGAGGAUAGAGGAUCUCCCCCACCACCCCAACUCCAGUGAGCUUUCAGAUGAGAUUGUAGCCCCAGAUGACAAUAUUUCACAGAGAAGACUCUUCGGUAUUCCACCAUGGGAUGGUAAAGAUCUGGCUGCCAGGAUUCAGUAAGAAAAGGAGGAUUCUGGCUUUCUUAUCCAUCAUGUAAAUGUCCCCUGUUUUGAGGAUGGUUCCCCUGUCAUCUACUGUAUCCCGUAUUCUUAACAUAGCCAAAAUAAACAGCCACACACUUACUGAAAUCAUAUCAUAUGUGCAUUUUUAAAGAAUAAAUAACUUUAUAUUCCAUUUGUAUAACAUUUUAUUGUUUGCGUAUUGCAUAGUGAAAAGAACAG
rnacentral:lncRNA from 10 species